rnacentral:lncRNA from 1 species
UACCUGCAUGAUAUCCAGUAUCAACACCUGUUCAUUUUAUCUUUAUUUAAUCAGAGAACAUUAAUUUAGGACCUUUGCUCAGCACUCUGUCCCCACACCACUCCUGAAUAAAUUCUUUCUUUUGUAAAUAUAAUGUUACAUGUUGGGCAUAUGUUCAGCUAACACCAAACCACAACAGUAAAAAUGUAGCAAUAAAUCAAAGUUUCUUUGGUUUGAAAGAGAGAGAGAGAGAGAGAGAGAGAGAGAGGGAGAGAGGGAGAGAGGCAGAGAGGGAGAGAGGGAGAGAGAGAGACUUACUUUUAUGACGCAUUUUUUCCAGUGCAGCUUUACUAGUUCAUAAGGGUGUGUGUCCAUAUCAUAAACUCUGCCCACUUUAACGGCAUGCUAAAGAUCACGCACACGCGUACACACACACACACACACACACACACAUACAUACACACACACACACACACACACACACACGAUGGGAUGGAUCAGGAAGUGAUCUGGUGCUUAUAAAGCAUCAGCAAGUGAAGAUCUGCAUUCUGCGGAUCUGACCUCGGACACACGGUGAGUUCACGUCUGUCUCCCCUCAGCUGAUGUCCUUUUUGUUCAUAUCAUCUAAUCAAAUGUUCUUCACAUUUCCAGACUCUGUCAGAAUGUACGGCCACAACCAAGGAAACCAAUAUCCAGGUUAUCCAAACCAGCCGCCAGCUCCAGGAUACCCUGCGUAUCCUCCAGGAGCUGCUCCUCCAGCAACCUGCCCCCCUCCAAUGCAUGGGUGCCCACAGGGUCCUGGCUGUGGCCAGGGCCAUGGGCACGGGCAUGGUCACGAGCACGGACAUGGACACGGGCAUGGUCAUGACCACGGACAUGGACAUGGGCAUGGACACGGGCAUGGAUAUGGACAUGGGCAUGGACACAGGCAUGGAUAUGGACAUGGGCAUGGACACAGGCAUGGACAUGGGCAUUAGCAGGGUCCUUGCUGUGGCCAGGGCCAUGGACACGGGCAUGGACACAAGAAGCACAAGCAUAAGCUUGGUCACAAACAUGCCCAUUGUCACAAGAAAGGGAAAAAUAGUCACGAGGUAAGAAAAGGUUCCUCAGAUAAGAUGGGCUGCCUGCUCAGAAUCCAGUUUCUUUCAAUUUUUUGGUUUGUGUGUUUUAUAUUUGACUAUGUCUCUAACAAAAGCCUGGUUUGUAAUUUGUUGUGUUGUGUCUUUUUUCUCUCUCGCUUUAGUCCUCCAGCAGCUCCUGCAGCAGCGACUCUGAUUAGAUGUAGAAGACUUGUAACAUCUUCUUCACAUGAAAUCCCUGGCUUUAAAUGCAAUUUUAAAUGUUAUGGUUUUCUUACCAGAAUCAGAAUUUAAAUAAAUAAAAGCACUCGGACAAAUUACCAAUAUGUUUU